GAUUCAAAAGAAGAUAUCCAUUAAAAACAAUAAGUUCAUACAACUCCAAGAACAUAAAAUAAAAUAUAAAACCCAUGUCCCUGUGUUAGGGCUGCAUCCAGCCCUAGAGAGGAGAUCAGCCUUCCAUGGAGUUGGAGACGGCAGCAGCAGCACAGCAGCGGGCUCCCAUCUCUCCCUCUUUCUUUAUUUUUUUCUUUGGGAAAUCAUUCCCAGAAUGACCCAAACUUUUCUCUCCCUCCUCUGUUUCCUGUGGGACUGCCACCCGAGUCGAGAUUGCCGAAGAGAAGUUGGGAGCAGCCCCCGGUGGGGGAAGAGGGAAUGCCUCUAGCCUGCAUGCAUUGAUUCCCUUUUAUAGCCUUCACAGCCUCUGUUAUCACGCAGGGGAUAAGGAUGAAAUGAAGCGAGAUGCGGUUGAAGCUGGGGUGAUUCUCGGAGUUGUAGCUUAUCCCGUUGACGUGAAUCCAGGGAAUGAAGGAGGCGAGCUUCUUCAACGCGUGGGAGAAGAUUCUGGAUGCGGCCGAGACAUGGAAAUUGUCGACGUGGAUGCAGGGGACUAUGCUCUCGGCUGAAGCAUGGGAAAAC
rnacentral:lncRNA from 1 species